AGCGAACGCUGGCGGCAGGCCUAACACAUGCAAGUCGAACGAAGUCUUCGGACUUAGUGGCGGACGGGUGAGUAACACGUGGGAACGUACCUUUUGGUUCGGAAUAACUCAGGGAAACUUGAGCUAAUACCGGAUGUGCCCUUAGGGGGAAAGAUUUAUCGCCAUUAGAGCGGCCCGCGUUGGAUUAGGUAGUUGGUGGGGUAAAGGCCCACCAAGCCUACGAUCCAUAGCUGGUCUGAGAGGAUGAUCAGCCACACUGGGACUGAGACACGGCCCAGACUCCUACGGGAGGCAGCAGUGGGGAAUCUUGCGCAAUGGUCGAAAGACUGACGCAGCCAUGCCGCGUGAAUGAUGAAGGUCUUAGGAUUGUAAAAUUCUUUUACCAGGGACGAUAAUGACGGUACCUGGAGAAAAAGCCCCGGCUAACUUCGUGCCAGCAGCCGCGGUAAUACGAAGGGGGCUAGCGUUGCUCGGAGUUACUGGGCGUAAAGGGAGCGU
rnacentral:rRNA from 1 species